CUGGGCAACAGAGCAAGACUGCCUCAAAAAGAAAGAAAGAAAAUAAUCACAAUCAUAACCAAUAUAUAUCAUAUUCUGGGCUCCGAGCAUUUUAUACGGCAUUGUGAAAACGAUAUUAGUACCUUUCUGAUAGCAUUGUUAGCAGAUUAAAUGGGACAAAUGAGAAAAGUAAAAUCUCUAAGGCCCGGAGAUGUUAAGUAAUUUGCCCAAGAGCACACAGCUAAGAUGUGGUAGAAUUGGGAUUUGAAUCCAGGCCCAUGGGCUUCAGAAACUGUCCUCUAACAUUAGGCCAUGAUAUGCAGCUAGCAGGCCUGGUAGCUUAAAGGGAGAGGCAGGAAUUGGAAUAUAACGGGUGAGGCACACAGGCGCUGGGUGUUGGAUCUCUCUUGGUUAGACACCAAAGACUCAUUCUGAGUCUCCCCAUCUGGAAAUGAGUUUUCCCAUCUGGAAAUGAGGAUAAUACCUACCCGAAUGAGUUAUGUAAGGCACUAGCACAGCACUCCAGACCCAGUGGGUGCUCAGUGCACUGUUGGAGAGUCCGUUUCCUUUUUCCCUUCCUCUAUAUUUUGCCGUGGGCCACUCUAUGGAGAGGACUUUCCUGCCCAGGGAACAGGGAGAUGGCCAGGAUGAUUUUGCUAUCUGUGGCAACUCUAAGGGAACCCUGGUUCGCUAAGCUUUUGCUGGAUGUCAGAAUUCCAAUCCCUCUCCACUGUGCUUUUUUUUUCAUUGGCAGAACUUUAAAUGAUUUUAUAAAACUGCAAAUGUACAAGGUAAUUGAGUCUUCUGUUUUAUUACCCUGAGCUGCCUGGACCUUGCCCGGCCUCCUCCUCACUCACCGAGCCGCCGGAAUAAAGUUGGAAGUGUUUGCGCUGGUAAUAUAUAGGACUUAAUUAACCUGGCCUUUUAUAGCAUUUCCAAUGGAGGGUUGGAACGAACUUCGAGGCAGCCUGAGAAAGGGAAAGGGGGGCCUAGGGUGAGAGCGUGUAUGUACAUACAACACUUGAUGUUGGUUUUUUUCUUCUGUUCUUUUCUCCAGUACUUUAAUCAGCAUUUAAUGACCCAGUCGAAAAUUCAUCGUUUGGGCCCAAGCACUGGUGGGAAAGGCAGUAGGGGAGGCCUGCCUUCCUCUCUCCCUCCCGAGUCCUACAGCAGGCCAUGGAGUGGUGAGCGAGUUUAUACCGUGCCAGCCACAUUCCCAGAAACUUCCAGCUGAGGUUAAUCCUGCUCCUCUUGGGUAGGAGACAAUGAAUGGAUAUUAACAAAUGGAUUCCCUGUGUUGGCUAAUGCCACUCCCUACUCAACAUAGGAUGACUCCAUUCCCCAUUCCCGGGCCCCAAGGCUGCGUUAAUGUGCUAUCCUGACUGCCCCUUCACCCUAAUGUUCCCACUCCUUUCCCCUCCCAACACCAAGCCAUGCCUGAACUGGACGCCCUUCCAUACCAACCCAGGAAAAAGUGAUUCAGCUCCGGUCCACCCUGGGUGCAGCAGUCCUUCUGCCAAGAUGCCUUCAUGUCAUACAGCUAUUAUUUUCGGGAGGAUUCCAAGUGAGGGCAGUCAGGGUGGGCUUGGUCCAUUCUCUAGACUUUGGAAGAUAAUGUUCCAUAGAGGCCUGUUCUGAAGCUUUACCAGGUCAAACCGGAGAAGAACCCAACAACGUAACUCAUCCCAGCCUAACUAUCCUUCAAGGGCAAUCAACCUACAGCAUCCAAGUACAGAGAAAUCAAAUCCAUAGAGAAUCUUCAAAUUAGGCUCAGAAUCCGUUUGGGACACUGGAUUUACUGUUAUCAGAUCUUAGUUGUGUUCAUCCAUGAUCUGACAUACCUUAGAGUGAGAAGAUAUUCUUCCUAGGCUCAGACUAGUUGAAGGUAGAGAGAGAGAGAGAGAGAGAGAGAGAGAGAAACCCUUGGGUGUGGGGAGACCUCCCCUGGGAUAAUACACACACAAAACCAAGAGCUGCUCACUGUGGUGCAGCAGACAGCAGGGGCCUGAAGCCAGAGGCUCUCUCUGCGUCCUUGAAUACAACGCUUUACUCCUCUGACCCCUGUUACCGUGAUUUGGAGAGGCAGACAAUAUAGUAUGGGCUCUGCAGGCAGGGAGGUCCAGUUAUAAUCCCAGCUCUUACUAAGUUGGGUAAGACUCACUCUGAGACUUAGUUUCUUCUAUCAUCUCUCAAUAGAAUCAUAAAGGUACUUUCUUGUUAGUGUUGUUUUAAAAUUCAGUAAAAUAACGAAGGCUUAGCACAGGGUCUGAUGUAAAUUUUCAAUGAAUUAUUGUUGUCAGUUAUUGUUCUAGAAAACAAGAGGGCAUAUUAGAUCAAAAGUACUGCCAAGCAUUGAAAUGCCAAUUCUAGAUCCAGUUUCAGUCCUCUGAGAACUGAUAUCAUUGUUUUCGAGCCAUUCAGAAACCAGUGUGAAUUGAACACCUAGUAUGAGCUCUCUGGGGGAAGAGCCAAGUCCUACAUUUUCGAUCUUAAGGGGUCUUCAGUACCUCUAGCCCAAAGCAGUAUCUCCAUCAGGAUUCCUCUCUGACAGUGUUCAUUUCUUUUUUCUCAAUGGAUGCCUUAAAAAAAAAAAUCCAGCAAGGAAACCUGUACUCCUCAAACACACCACUCAGGUGACCAUUAAA